GAGUAUCGAGUUUGCUUUCACAUGGGAUUUUGUCUUCUGGCUGGGCAGUGCCUGAGCAUUGCAAUUUCAGGCAGGGGGUUUUGUUGCGUCAGGAGCACGGGGAAGAGCCUUUUCCCCAUGCACGUUCCCUGGUGUCUGGUGAGCAGAGGGCUCAUGCGGAGCCUUGCCCCAACCCAGGGGCCUCUGCUCAGCUGCCUCGUCUCCCGAGAGCUGUAGGAGCUUAGUCGGGAAUAGCUCUGCCUUUCUGCCAAGCUUGGCUGAAGUUUGUUUCAUCGGGUUCAGAAAGAAAGUGAUGGGUGCUCGUGUAUGCGGUUUGGUAGAGUCUAAGCUAAAAAACUACCCACUCAAGUAGGGUUUUGUUCACGGCAAAAUGAUGAAUAGGCAAUAGUAAUAACCUGUGUGAUAGGGACUGUAUGGGCCUGGGUCUGCUCCUACGGUGUAGGUGGCAGUAGCUGCUUGUUGGAGCUUUUACAGCAUUGGAUAGGGGCAGCAGUCCUCCAGGUUAAAGGGAUCCUGCGAGGGAAGCCCUUCAGCUCUUCAGCCCUGUGCUUGCAGAGUCUGGUGGCUGUUUGCUGGGAUCAGAAAAGGUUGCCGUGGUUAUUCUCUUUUGUUAAAUGCGAUGACCGACAUCCCCAGAAUAAUGGCUAGAUUUUCCCCAAGGAAGACUGUGGGCUCUCGAGCAGUAAGAUGGUCAGUGAUGCCUUGUAAUUGAGAAAGCAUCUCGCUGUUUGAUAAUUCAGGCUUAGGGCAGGUUCUGCAAGCAUGCCCCAGGCUCCUGUCUUGCCCAGUUUGCCUAUUGUGUGCAUCUGUAAUAUCAGUUACCAGCAGUGCAACUGCACAGGAGUCUCUGCUGGGGGUUGAAUUUUGAUGUUUGGCUGUGUCCCCAGAGGUGGAGCUGAGCUGUUUCUUUUCAGUGGUUUGGUCAGAACACACCUCAUAUUUGUUGUCUGGUGUAUUUAGAAAAAUGUACCCUGUCAUUACGUUAGCAUGUAGAAUAUGUGCAGUAACAAAUUUACAGAUGGCAAUGCAGUCUCCACAGCUUAAGUCCUCAUACAUAUAUUCAACCUUUCUGGCUACACCCUGAGACAGCCCCAUAUACUAAUUUCCCUCAUGUAAAGCUUAUGUAAAUAACUGGAGUUCCUAUUUUGCCCUUGAAGGUCAGUAAAUAUGGGAGGUGAUUUCAGGGAAGCUGAGCUCAGAACUCUGCCUCGGUGCACGCACUUCACAGAUGCCAGUUCUUAAAGCACUCACGGUGGUCCCAGGGGAGCAGUGCUUACAGUAGCACUGCUUAUUAGCAGAAUUGUCUGCUGUAUCAAUUAUAUUUUUUUUAAAUGUGUGUGUUGUUUUUCCUUUUCUGAGGCAUCGCUAUGAUAAUGCUUGCUGGCACUAUAACAUCAAGCAGUGCUGUCAGCCUUACCCUGUUCUCCUAUUGUAGAACCAGUGCUGAUGAAAGGGUGCUUUUGUCAGGGUACUCUUUCACUUAAAAUUCCUCUGUCUGUCAUCCAGGCUCUGUGAAGGGUUGUUGCACUGGGUUACCGGUCAAGAAUUAAGGGUUAUUGGGUUACAAACCAAGAAUAAGCCUUAUUCAGGCUCACAACUGAAGAACCUCCAGCAGGUCAUUGAAACUCGUUAGAUCGGUUCCUCCUGUUUGCUAUGAGGCAGUUGUGCUAGCCACCACUAUCACAUGGUCUGAGACUUGAAUGGCAGGUAAUGGUACCACGUCUCAGCAGGAGGGUGGUUUCAAUUGUUGGCUCUGUUGCAGAUCUCCAGGCAAGUUUCAGGAAAGUAUCUGUUUAGCAAAGUUUACUUCGCAUCCUGCUGAGAAUGACCAAUUUACUGCUCAGCUGCUGCCUUGUGACGGGUCAGACAAAGGCUUCUUAGAAAAAAAGACCAAAUUCUCCUCCCUGACGUGUAUUGUUAACGUUUCUUGAAGGACUGCUUUCUCAAUGGAUAAGAAAGUGAAAGAGCAGGGACUGAGCAGAGAGGAGAAAAAUAUUUCCCCAAGGACAAAUGUUGCUGUAGUCUUUCAUGUCCAAAAGUGUUGCAACACCUCGAUCCUACUGCCACCUGACCAUUAUCAGUAUAAUCUCGAUGAGAGUACAUGGUUCUGCUUGCAUAGCUUUGAGUUGUUGCCUGCAUCGCAAAAGGCCCUGCUUCCCUCCUGCCUGUGCUGCUCAUCAGUACAGUGAGAAAAAUCAGUUCUUGUAGAUGUGAUCUGAAGCCCUGGAGAAAGAUCAAAAGAAUCCCCCUGAGAACGGGGGGCUCCACAAACAUGCUUGGCCUGAAUAGAAAAGGAGCUGGCGAGCAGUGUUUCCAUUUAGCCAGACAUUUGAUACCCAUCGCUGAUCGAGAAGCUUGGGUGGAAAUGUUAGUUGAGGUGGCUGCAGGUGCUGACACCUGCCUGGCGUUUGUAAAUGAACUCUCAGCUCUUCUGAAUAUUGACUUUCCCAACAGUCUCAGUGCCCUUAACUGCUAAAAUAAACACGGAUCUGUAAAAGAUGUUUUCAGUGUUUUGCAGAACUUCCUAUCUGCAGUUUGAAGAAGAACGUGCUCUAAACUUUGCCUGCCUUUUUCCACUCUGAUACAGCAGCGUAUUGGCCUGGCGGAGAUGAACUUUGCCUUUAGGAAUUUAACUAGGAAGGGCAGGAAGGACAGCAGAUAAGAACAGAUGAGAGGAGAGAAAAUCACAAGUAAAUGAAUCCAGUUGGUUGAGGCAGUGUCAUACACGGUGGGGAGGUGAGGGGGGAGUACCUGUGAUACUUCAUUGUUUCCAAUGUAGCGAACUGUUUGUUUGGGAUCUGAUAGUAGUAAUGGAAUGGCAUUGCUUUGAGAAGAUCCCGAGGUGUUUCAGCUUGGGAAGGUGACUGUAGGGGAAAUUAUAUAAAUGUGUGAAAUUAUGAAUGCUGGAAGAAUGCUUCCUAACAAGAAGUGUCAGAGUACAACCUGUGACGUUUAUAGGCACUAAAUGUAAAGAAAACUAAAGAGAAUAUUUUUUCAUACAGCAUAGCUGAAAGAUUUCUCAUCUACUGCCAAGGGUGCCGUGGGUGUCUUAUUAGGCAGUUCACAGAGGAUUAGUCCACAGGUACGUUGUCUGGAUCCAGUUUCUGUCCCUAAGUCCUUCAUGCUGUGAUUCCUGGAGACUGAGGAGUACCAGCAGAAUGAUUUUAUGCAUGCCCUCCUUCUUACAGUCUGCCCUCGUGGAAACCGCUCAGAUCAGAGUGGUACACGGGGAAUACAUCAUUUGGUGUUCAGUUAUCGUUUAGCUGGACUUGUGAAUACCAUUUUGUGGGAUUUGCUAGGAAAAAUGUUUUUUAGGGUUCUCUUCAGGAAGUCUGCAGUCUCUGGCUGCUGACGUGAUCCUCCUCCAGCUUUGGAUGUUCUCUCCUGAAUACUUACUAUCGUUACUAGAGACUGCCUGGACUCCUUGGCUGUGCAGUGAUUGUGAUUCACACUUGACGCUCUCUGGGUAAUACGCUCAGUGUGUGGAGCAUGUCAAAAUGUUUGCCUUUUUGCAGCUUUUCCUUUAAUAGAUUACCUUUCUUUUAAUACAAAAUCCUAUGCUUUAUUAAGCGUCGUGUAGACCUUCUGAAGGUCACCAGUUGUAUGCAGAAGCAGCAGAGGGACGGAACGAUGGAGGCACUGAGGAAACCAGCGGGCCAAGGAGGGCUGAUAGAGCUGCUUCUGCCGCAGUACCGCCAGGAUUUAUGCUUUGGCAUUUGGCAUAUGCAGCAGGCAUUUAUGUGAGCCAGUUGUAGUCUUUCCAGUGACGCCUAAAUUAAAUACUGCUGCUGUAAAAAGAAUCCUUUUUGUUACCUAUGCACAGCUACUAAUUGCCAUUCCUUCCCAUUCAUUUCCCUGCUGUCCUAUUUCUCCAGGCUGUCAUCUGCAUUCGCUUGGCUGCUUUGGGUGUGUGCUUUCUUGAGCAGCCCUGGGCUUUGGCAUUUUUGCAGAGGCUCUGGUUCAGAGAGGUAUAAGAUCCCAUCGUAUACAAAUGGUGUUUCAUUUGUGAGUAGGAAUGUAGCAUGCAGUGCAGGAGGAACAGAAACUAAAAUUAACAUUUGUGUUUGAAGGCAAGCUUUUCUGGCCAGACACGUCUUCCUGGCCUAAUAUGUCCUGGAUUCGUGGUUCUCAGUAUCACAGACGUAACCUCAGGUGCUCGGUGCACCAGUCUCUUUUCUCCUCUAACUUGCUGAAUUUGUGUAAGACGUCUGUCUGCUAUCUUCUUUUCAGGCACGAGAAGAAAAGAUAACGUUAAAAGCCCUCCUCAGCAGCCAGUAAAUGUCUGUGGUUGCCUUGCUGCUUGCAGGCAGUUUUGCUCAGAGGCUUGCAGCUGCAGACAGCUAGUCAGCCAGUGCAGGGAUUCCCGCAUGACCAUCACCCUCCGCUUAGUCCCCUGAGGUGAUAGACAUAAAGCACAAGGAAAUAAGAAAUGGAAUAAUUUUUAUUUGAUGAAAAUGCAGAAGCUUACCACGUUGUGCCUUUGUCUCUCCCAGCACAUGAAGUGUUCAGUGUGUCUGGUUGUCUGCCCACAGAUCUAGAAAAGUCGUGGGAAUGUCUGAAUGACCUACAACAAAACAAAAUGCUCGCACCUCACAACCACCAGGCUCAGAAACAUAAGUCAGGUUCCUCAAGUAAGGCAUGUUCUACUUGAUACCUCUUUCUCCAUUUGGCAUUUCCCAAGAACUAAGCCACUUACCAGCUCCUGCUACACCAGGAGGGAAUAUAGAGGCCGGUAUAGCAAAUGACCUGAACAGAGAAAAGCUAGUCCUGCAGCGGGGUCUGAGCCUGGAGACUCAGAUGCAAUCCCUUGCUUUCCAAGGUGCUUCUGAGGUUUGCCUUAGCUCCUGCUCGGGUAACAAAGGAGAGCGUGCUGCAGAUGGACAGUGAACAUGAGGGGACGUUGAAAAGCAACCUGUUAUUUUUGAAUCUUAACUUAAUUGCCUGCAUCUGUGUGUAUUUCAGCUGCGAAAUAAGGCUUUAGCAGAUCGUCUCUUCAGAGCUGCCGUAGCUUUGGAUCCUGUGAAGAGUGAGCGCAUGAGCUGAGGGCAGUGGUGGGAUGGGACCUCAGGCAUGUCCUUUCCUCCAGGUCUCAGAACAAGACCUGGAUGAAUAGCAGAAUUAAUUUUUCAUCCAGAAACUUGCACUCGAACAAUUUUUUCAUUCUGGAGGCAAAAUCUGGGACCAACAUAAAAGUAUUCGGUGAGAUCCUGUGCUCUGGCUCUUCCUUCCAUAAACAGUAGUUGUUUCUUCCAUUUUUCAUGUUCGGGUUACUAAAUCCAUGUCUUUUUUUAACCCUAAUAAAAGGUGCCAUUUUUAAAAUGGAAAACUGAGAAUGUCUCCAUUGAAAAUGUCUAAACGAAGUGCUUCAGUGUUUCCGGAAAAUGACUUUGAUGCUUUUUCAAAUCACUCAAGAAAUGAUCCAAACUCAUGCUGUCUUCAGUCCCUCCAGGGCUCAUUUUCCCAGUGAGUGGCUCUGUUGACGUGAUGUACAGGAACUGGUGGAGUCGGUGUGAGGCUGCUGCAAGACCUGUGGUGUUCUCACCCUGCGGGGCACUGGUGUCCCCAGGCUGCAGCGCUGUCCCUCUGCUGACUGAGGAGCCAGGGGAAUGCUGUCUGCCUUGCUGUGUCCCCUGCCCCAGGGCAAAGCCUUCUACCUUUGUACCUGAGAGGUCAGAGGCAAGGGAAGGACACCGCAGUACCACGCAUAGCAGGGUUCUGCAAAUAACUGAUAAGGCAAAGUGGAAAUGAGAGUAAAAGUGACUGCACCUUUUGCCAGAGUCCAUUGGACUAGCUUUUAGCUCUGAUUCUUCACAGACCCUUCUGGGACCAGACUGGCUUAUGACUGUAAAAUAGUCUGAGGCUUAGGUGAAUCACAGGCAGUUCAGCUUCUUGUAAUAAAAGGGUUUUAACACACACAGACAAACCUCAGACAGCCUUGGCACUUCCCCUGCUUUCUGGUGAGUCAGUUCAUUGGGGCAGCGCUCUCAGCAGUUUGCUCAGCCUCCUGCCUCAUCUCCUCCUCCUUAGAGCUGCCUAACCGAGAUUUGCUACCCCCAGCAAUGUAUAAACAAACAAAGAUAGGUCUGAGGCCCCGGCAGAAGAGAUGCGAUUACACAGUUAAUAAUUGUUCUAAAUGUUUUCAAAUGGCGCUGCUCUCUGCGGGGUCAGCCAGCCAACAUCCCUGCAGGUGCCGAGGCUGGAGGUGCGAGCACCAGCUCCAGUGGUUGUGGUGUGGUCACCGUUCUGCGCUCUCACAUUGCAGCGUUUGAGGCAGGUUUUAUGCACGCUUCUUGCAUUGAUUUGUUCUUGCUUAUUGCCUGGAAAAGAGUAAUUCCUCUUGCAGGAAUAAAAA